AUACAGAGGGUGCAAGCGUUAAUCGGAAUUACUGGGCGUAAAGCGCGCGUAGGUGGUUCAGUAAGAUGGAAGUGAAAUCCCCGGGCUUAACCUGGGAACUGCUUUCAUAACUGCUGAGCUAGAGUACGGUAGAGGGUAGUGAAAUUUCCUGUGUAGCGGUGAAAUGCGUAGAUAUAGGAAGGAACACCAGUGGCGAAGGCGACUACCUGGACUGAUACUGACACUGAGGUGCGAAAGCGUGGGAAGCAAACAGGAUUAGAUACCCGGGUAGUCCACGCCGUAAACGAUGUCAACUAGCCGUUGGGAACCUUGAGUUCUUAGUGGCGCAGCUAACGCACUAAGUUGACCGCCUGGGGAGUACGGUCGCAAGAUUAAAACUCAAAUGAAUUGGCGGGG
rnacentral:rRNA from 1 species